UCAGGGGCAUUUUCGUAAAGAUGCUCCAACUUGGUGUCGUGCUCCCUUUGAACCUGAGGGCCUGUUGAGUUCCAUAUCAGCUAUUCUGUCUGGCACCAUUGGCAUCCACUAUGGUCAUGUCUUGAUUUACUUCAAGAGGCAUUCAGAGAGGUUAAAGCAAUGGGUCUCAAUGGGGUUUGUGUUACUAAUCCUUGGCAUCAUCCUUCAUUUAACA